rnacentral:rRNA from 1 species
UACGUAGGGGGCAAGCGUUGUCCGGAUUUAUUGGGCGUAAAGAGCGUGUAGGCGGCCAGAUAGGUCCGUUGUGAAAACUCGAGGCUCAACCUCGAGACGCCGAUGGAAACCAUCUGGCUAGAGUCCGGAAGAGGAGAGUGGAAUUCCCGGUGUAGCGGUGAAAUGCGCAGAUAUCGGGAAGAACAACCGUGGCUAAGGCGGCUCUCUAGUACGGUACUGACGCUGAGACGCGAAAGCGUGGGGAGCGAACAGG